rnacentral:rRNA from 1 species
ACGCUCGACACCUACGGGAGCAGCAGUCGGGAAUAUUGCGCAAUGGAGGAAACUCUGACGCAGUGACGCCGCGUGCAGGAAGAAGGUUUUCGGAUUGUAAACUGCUUUAGACAGGGAAGAAAAAGGACAGUACCUGUAGAAUAAGCUCCGGCUAACUACGUGCCUGCAGCCGCGGUAAUCUGAGCGGGCUGGCAAGGC